UGCUUUAACAUGCAGUCGGACGGCAGCACGGGCUUCGGCCUGGUGGCGAGUGGCGAACGGGUGAGUAAUGUAUCGGAACGUGCCCAGUAGCGGGGGAUAACUACGCGAAAGCGUGGCUAAUACCGCAUACGCCCUACGGGGGAAAGCGGGGGACCUUCGGGCCUCGCACUAUUGGAGCGGCCGAUAUCGGAUUAGCUAGUUGGUGGGGUAACGGCCUACCAAGGCGACGAUCCGUAGCUGGUUUGAGAGGACGACCAGCCACACUGGGACUGAGACACGGCCCAAACUCCUACGGGAGGCAGCAGUGGGGAAUUUUGGACAAUGGGGGCAACCCUGAUCCAGCCAUCCCGCGUGUGCGAUGAAGGCCUUCGGGUUGUAAAGCACUUUUGGCAGGAAAGAAACGGCACGGGCUAAUAUCCUGUGCAACUGACGGUACCUGCAGAAUAAGCACCGGCUAACUACGUGCCAGCAGCCGCGGUAAUACGUAGGGUGCAAGCGUUAAUCGGAAUUACUGGGCGUAAAGCGUGCGCAGGCGGUUCGGAAAGAAAGAUGUGAAAUCCCAGGGCUUAACCUUGGAACUGCAUUUUUAACUACCGGGCUAGAGUGUGUCAGAGGGAGGUGGAAUUCCGCGUGUAGCACUGAAAUGCGUAGAUAUGCGGAGGAACACCGAUGGCGAAGGCAGCCUCCUGGGAUAACACUGACGCUCAUGCACGAAAGCGUGCGGAGCAAACAGGAUUAGAUACCCUGGUAGUCCACGCCCUAAACGAUGUCAACUAGCUGUUGGGGCCUUCGGGCCUUGGUAGCGCAGCUAACGCGUGAAGUUGAC
rnacentral:rRNA from 1 species